GUUGGAAUCAGCAGGGUGAGGAAGGGUGUUUCUGUCUGACUAAAGGUGCUUGACUGGCUGGAUUUACUGGAUGUGGGAGAGAGAAGACCUGAAAACUUUAACCCUAAGGUUUGGGCUUCCUAACAGGAAUUCAAGAAAGCUGUUUUUGGUGGGAAAAGAAUGUCAUCAGCAUAAAUAAAAACUUCAAAUAUCUCCAACAAUCCAUAAAGACAAAACAAUGGUGAGGCUGAAAGUGUCUGCAGCCAAAACAUCAGUCAGCUGAAUGCUUAAAAGUGAAACUGACUACAUCGAUUUUCAUUGUCCAUGAUGAGAGAAAUGCACCAAGUAAGACCUUGAUCUUCAUGGAAUCUGCUAGUGAGGACCCUACUGAGAUCACUAAUCCAGAGGAUUGCGCUAGCACAUCCCAGUACAGACCUGGGGCCAAAUAGCAUGAUCCUGUUGACUGCAGUGGUGCAGAUCAGGCCCAAAAU